AUUAAAACACUAGUUCCUGUACGAUCACCGAUGUUAAGCAACAUCAAGCCUCAUCAGUACCUAGAUGGGUAACCGCUUGGGAAUACCAAAUACUGUAAG